GGAGGAUACAGCUCAGUGGUAGAGUGCCUGCUUAGCAUUUACAAGGUCCUGGGUUCAAUCCCCAGUCCCUCCA
rnacentral:tRNA from 1 species